GCUGCUGUAGCUCAGUGGUAGAGCACUCCCUUGGUAAGGGAGAGGUCCAGGGUUCGAGUCCCUGCAGCAGCACCA
rnacentral:tRNA from 2 species